UGGGGAAUUUUGGACAAUGGGCGAAAGCCUGAUCCAGCAAUGCCGCGUGUGUGAAGAAGGCCUUCGGGUUGUAAAGCACUUUUGUCCGGAAAGAAAUCCUUGGCUCUAAUACAGUCGGGGGAUGACGGUACCGGAAGAAUAAGCACCGGCUAACUACGUGCCAGCAGCCGCGGUAAUACGUAGGGUGCAAGCGUUAAUCGGAAUUACUGGGCGUAAAGCGUGCGCAGGCGGUUUGCUAAGACCGAUGUGAAAUCCCCGGGCUCAACCUGGGAACUGCAUUGGUGACUGGCAGGCUAGAGUAUGGCAGAGGGGGGUAGAAUUCCACGUGUAGCAGUGAAAUGCGUAGAGAUGUGGAGGAAUACCGAUGGCGAAGGCAGCCCCCUGGGCCAAUACUGACGCUCAUGCACGAAAGCGUGGGGAGCAAACAGGAUUAGAUACCCUGGUAGUCCACGCCCUAAAACGAUGUCAACUAGUUGUGGGGAUUCAUUUCCUUAGUAACGUAGCUAACGCGUGAAGUUGACCGCCUGGGGAGUACGGUCGCAAGAUUAAAACUCAAAUGAAUUGACGGGGUCAUAGCUGUUUCCU
rnacentral:rRNA from 1 species